rnacentral:rRNA from 1 species
CCCUACGGGGGGCAGCAGUGAGGAAUAUUGGUCAAUGGGCUUACGCCUGAACCAGCCAAGUCGCGUGAGGGAAGACUGUCCUAUGGGUUGUAAACCUCUUUUGUCAGGGAGCAACGCCGGCUACGUGUAGCCGGACUGAGAGUACCCGAAGAAAAAGCAUCGGCUAACUCCGUGCCAGCAGCCGCGGUAAUACGGAGGAUGCGAGCGUUAUCCGGAUUUAUUGGGUUUAAAGGGUGCGUAGGCGGAAUGCCAAGUCAGCGGUAAAAUCGCGGGGCUCAACCUCGCUCCGCCGUUGAAACUGGCGU